rnacentral:rRNA from 1 species
AUUGAACGCUGGCGGCAGGCCUAACACAUGCAAGUCGAACGGUAACAGGAAGAAGCUUGCUUCUUUGCUGAUGAGUGGCGGACGGGUGAGUAAUGUCUGGGAAACUGCCUGAUGGAGGGGGAUAACUACUGGAAACGGUAGCUAAUACCGCAUAACGUCGCAAGACCAAAGAGGGGGACCUUCGGGCCUCUUGCCAUCGGAUGUGCCCAGAUGGGAUUAGCUAGUAGGUGGGGUAACGGCUCACCUAGGCGACGAUCCCUAGCUGGUCUGAGAGGAUGACCAGCCACACUGGAACUGAGACACGGUCCAGACUCCUACGGGAGGCAGCAGUGGGGAAUAUUGCACAAUGGGCGCAAGCCUGAUGCAGCCAUGCCGCGUGUAUGAAGAAGGCCUUCGGGUUGUAAAGUACUUUCAGCGGGGAGGAAGGGAGUAAAGUUAAUACCUUUACUCAUUGACGUUACCCGCAGAAGAAGCACCGGCUAACUCCGUG